rnacentral:lncRNA from 1 species
GCCUUCUUCAUUUUUGAUUUUUUUCCUUUGAUUGAUUCAUUGUUUCCUUCUCAAGCCAAAGAUUAUUGAGCAAAUCAUACAUAAAUAAAUAUAUUAUUUAUUUAUACUAUAUAAGAUUCAAAUUACAAACCAAUGAAACCAUAGAAGAAGAAAAAUCUGCGGCUCAAAUUAAUCAGUCAAUCUUUAGAAAAAAUCAAAAUUUCUCGUUUCUCCAAAGUCGAUCGGCCUUCAACAUUUGAAGAUUGUUGAAGAUAAUCCGGUAAUUUUGUAUUUUUUGCAUAAUACCUCAUUAUUGGUUGAUUGCAAUUUGUACCCCUUUUUGUUUAUAAUUUUUUCGAUCUUUCACUGCCUAGGCUGGGAGUUAAAUUAUCGGUUAUUGGAUCUUCAGUUGCUAGAUUAAAGGUGCGAGUUUUUCAUUUUUGUUUUCAUUUUGAUUGCGUAGUUGUUGAUUUGCUUGGGUCUCUUCAAUUAUUUUGGGUUUACAUUAAUUGUAAAAUGUUUUCUGAUUAUGAAAAUUAGUUUGGUCCAAAUGCUAGAAGCCAUAUUGAUUACCAUUAUGUUUCAUCAGCAAGUGGUGAUACUGAUACAGAUUGUGGAACAAAAGCACAAGGAGUUGUGGCACGUCUUCUGGGAAUGGAUUCAUUGCCAACUUCAAACGUUUUUUUUUUUUUUACCCCUAUUCUACUCCGUUUAUAGGGUCUCACUCUUUCAGAGAUUCUCGUUACUUGGGAACCCCCGUGUUUUAGAAUGAACAUGAUAUUGUAAUCUUUGAAAGAGUGAACAUGAACCCGUGUCUUCUAGCAUUCGGACCAGUUGUAGCUCGUGAUGUGGCAACAGAAAUUCAUGAUGGCUGUUAUCUAAAAAUUUAUCAUGUAUUUCCUGCUGCCUGUGUGAUUUUGAAUUUUUUUCCCCAAAUAAUGAAUUUCAAAUUAAUAUAGCUUUUACCCCGUUUGUCAAUAGACAAUAGGUUACUGAAGAAGUCUUGGAUGGUAAGAUCCGUAUGUUCUACACUUCAUCCAAAACCACUAGGUUUCUCAAACAAUUUGUUUUAAGAUUGGAUCUGCUAAGUCUGCUAGGACCCAAAACCUUUUUCAAUUUGUUUAAUAAGUUGGAUGUAAACAGACUGGAUAGCACUAGAAAAAUUA